GAUCAAUGAUGAAAAUAGCCAAAUCUGAGCAUCAGAAGACUUCAUAGUCAAUCUGAUAUAUGAUCUGUAAUGUUCUGAGA
rnacentral:snoRNA from 1 species